AUACAGAGGGUGCAAGCGUUAAUCGGAUUUACUGGGCGUAAAGCGCGCGUAGGCGGCUAAUUAAGUCAAAUGUGAAAUCCCCGAGCUUAACUUGGGAAUUGCAUUCGAUACUGGUUAGCUAGAGUGUGGGAGAGGAUGGUAGAAUUCCAGGUGUAGCGGUGAAAUGCGUAGAGAUCUGGAGGAAUACCGAUGGCGAAGGCAGCUUUCUGGCCUCAUACUGACCCUCAUGGACGAAAGCUGGGGGAGCAAACAGGAUUAGAAACCCGAGUAGUCC
rnacentral:rRNA from 1 species